AAGGUCUAUGAGGGAAAUCCCUCUCUACACUCAUCAAUUGUGUGAGACAGGGGCUAGUGGCGUGACCUUCUCGGCACAUGGGUGUGCUUGACAAGGUUGUUGAACCCAGGCAGGUUGUGCAUUGCGACGCACCUGACACUGGCUGGCGAAGCUCGCACGUGAGUGUGUUGCUACCAUGUGUACUCUAUAUGCUUAGGGCCCUAUCUCAGCACUUAGGCAUGCUCAAAUAGUGUCAUUUGGACAUCAGGCAUACAACCAUGUCUGUAUUGCGGUUUGUCUUGGCACAUUAGUGUCUUCGCCGUACUGGGCCAAGGCGAAAGCCUUUCUCAUCGAACUCCGAUUUCCAUUUUCCACUUAUCUUCUCAAAAUCAAUUUUUAAUCGAGGCAUAAACAUCUAAUCACAUUUACAAA
rnacentral:lncRNA from 1 species